UUGGAGACAAGGGGCGGUGCCUGAGUGUCACCAGCACCCGCCGGAACCCGGCAGGACCCGGUGCCGUCACCGGCAACGCCACCCUGGGCUCCUUCUGGAGCUCCCUGCAGGCCUGCACCGGACACGGUGGGUGCGUCCGUCUCUGCUGAGCCCCCAGGACCGUGACGAGCCGGGACCCCCCAAGGACCCCCC